rnacentral:rRNA from 1 species
GACGAACGCUGGCGGCGUGCUUAACACAUGCAAGUCGAACGGAAAGGCCCUGCUUUUGUGGGGUGCUCGAGGGGCGAACGGGUGAGUAACACGUGAGUAACCUGCCCUUGACUUUGGGAUAACUUAAGGAAACUGGGGCUAAUACCGGAUAGGAGCUCCUGCUGCAUGGUGGGGGUUGGAAAGUUUCGGCGGUUGGGGAUGGACUCGCGGCUUAUCAGCUUGUUGGUGGGGUAGUGGCUUACCAAGGCUUUGACGGGUAGCCGGCCUGAGAGGGUGACCGGCCUCCUUGGGACUGAGAUACGGCCCAGACUCCUCCGGGAGGCAGCAGUGGGGAAUAUUGCACAAUGGGCGGAAGCCUGAUGCAGCGCCGCCGCGUGCGGGAUGACGGCCUUCGGGUUGUAAACCGCUUUCGCCUGUGACGAAGCGUUAGUGACGGUAAUGGGUAAAGAAGCACCGGCUAACUACGUG